GGGGGAUGGGACUGCAGGCUGCUUGCUGCUUGCGCUGAUCAACACAUUUACAAAACAAAAGACGCUGAUGGAGAGGUGCAAGGGGAUUUAAGGUGGGCAGGGUUUAUGAGUUUUUUUCGUAGGCUUUGGUAAUUCUAAUUUUAAAUAUGAUAGUUUCAAAUGCACACUAUUUCAUUUAGAAAUGCCUGGAAUGAAUGUGCAAUAUUUGAAUUCUAAUAAAAGCAUCUUUAAUUUACCCACAGAUCAAUGGCAGCAUUGAUUCUAAAUUAACAUUUUCAGUUUUUUGGUUAAUAUAUUGUUUGUCCAGUAAUAAAAAAUCAAAUACCACUGAAAACGUUCCCACACUUCUUCCAAAGGGUUGUCUAAUAAGUAAUAAUCCUGUAUCUCUGAUUUCAUGCAACUGACUGCACUGUCUGUAGCUGAUUAAACCUAAUUAUUAUU